GGCUGUCUCUUCUCCAAGGUUCAGGUCAAAACGACGGUCGGAGGGUCCAGACAUUUUCAAAUGUGUUGAAGAGGGAAGAGGGCAGACAAAUCAAGAUCUUAGAAGUGCAAGAAAUGAGCUUCUACUGGUAGAGAUUGAUGCGAGAAUUACUUGACACACAAAUUAAACCCUCUUUUUGACAAUUGUAGUAUGGAUGUAAGUAGGGUAUCGUUCUAGGCCGGGGAUUAGGAGGGAUUGCUAAUCUAUUCUAAAUUAAUUUAAAAAUAUUAAAUAAGACUCAAGGACACAAAACUAGGCUAAAAACUCUAAUAACUCGAAAUACACUUAGGAUAACUCAAAAUAAUGAAAAUAAUCAAAAUAGACACUAGGAACUGAAAUGGACGGAAAUUGAAUUAAAAGACUAACAACAAAGAAAACUAACUAAAUAAUAUAAUUUAAUAAUGGAUGGGUGUUUGGUUUUGAUGAAAAGUAAAUUAAACUUAAUUAAAUUACAGAAUUGACAAAAACAUGAAAUUAAGGUGAAAGGAUAAAUGACGGACUAGCUAGAGGGUUCUUCUCCACACAUGACACAUAUGCAACCUAAAU
rnacentral:lncRNA from 1 species